rnacentral:lncRNA from 1 species
AUGUCACCCUAUGGAGAAUGUCACCCUAAGGAGGAUGUCACCCUAAGGAGGAUGUCACCCUAUGGAGGAUGUCACCCUAAGGAGGAUGUCACCCCAUGGAGGAGGUCACCCUAUGGAGGAUGUCACCCCAUGGAGGAGGUCACCCUAUGGAGGUGGAUGUCACCCUAAGGAGGAUGUCACCUGGAGGAGGAUGUCACCCUAUGGAGGAGGAUGUCACCUGGAGGUAGAUGUCACCUGGUGGC